rnacentral:rRNA from 1 species
UACAGAGGUCCCGAGCGUUGUUCGGAUUCGAUUGGGCGUAAAGGGGUGCGUAGGCGGUCUUCUAAGUUUGAUGUGAAAUCCCGGGGCUCAACCCUGGAAUUGCAUUGAAUACUGGAGGACUAGAGUACCGGAGAGGAAACUGGAAUUUACGGUGUAGCAGUGAAAUGCGUAGAGAUCGUAAGGAAGACCAGUGGCGAAGGCGAGUUUCUGGACGGUAACUGACGCUGAGGCACGAAGGCCAGGGGAGCAAACGGG